rnacentral:misc_RNA from 1 species
AACGCACCUUGCACCCUCUGGUAUUCCGGAGGGUAUGCCUGUCCGAGUGUCUUGAAAACCUCACACCUGCCGGGUCCUGCCCGGCCAGGAAGUGGACUUGGGUGUUGCCUUUCCUUGGCUCACCUCAAAUGCCUUAGCGGUCCCGUCGGUGGACGGCCUUGCGUGCUCACGUUUCGCUCGGCUCUGAAACCUUUGGGUCCGCUCACAAAGCUUCUCUCCUGAGAAAAAACUCUUGACACCUUGACCUCGGAUCAGGUAGGACUACCCGCUGAACUUAA